rnacentral:rRNA from 1 species
GGGGCAUCAGGAACAUAGCUUGCUUUCUUUGCUGGCGACCGGCGCACGGGUGAGUAACACGUAUCCAACCUGCCCUUUACUCGGGGAUAGCCUUUCGAAAGAAAGAUUAAUACCCGAUGGCAUAAUGAUUCCGCAUGGUUUCAUUAUUAAAGGAUUCCGGUAAAGGAUGGGGAUGCGUUCCAUUAGGUUGUUGGUGAGGUAACGGCUCACCAAGCCUUCGAUGGAUAGGGGUUCUGAGAGGAAGGUCCCCCACAUUGGAACUGAGACACGGUCCAAACUCCUACGGGAGGCAGCAGUGAGGAAUAUUGGUCAAUGGGCGCUAGCCUGAACCAGCCAAGUAGCGUGAAGGAUGAAGGCUCUAUGGGUCGUAAACUUCUUUUAUAUAAGAAUAAAGUGCAGUAUGUAUACUGUUUUGUAUGUAUUAUAUGAAUAAGGAUCGGCUAACUCCGUGCCAGCAGCCGCGGUAAUACGGAGGAUCCGAGCGUUAUCCGGAUUUAUUGGGUUUAAAGGGAGCGUAGGUGGACUGGUAAGUCAGUUGUGAAAGUUUGCGGCUCAACCGUAAAAUUGCAGUUGAUACUGUCAGUCUUGAGUACAGUAGAGGUGGGCGGAAUUCGUGGUGUAGCGGUGAAAUGCUUAGAUAUCACGAAGAACUCCGAUUGCGAAGGCAGCUCACUGGACUGCAACUGACACUGAUGCUCGAAAGUGUGGGUAUCAAACAGGAUUAGAUACCCUGGUAGUCCACACAGUAAACGAUGAAUACUCGCUGUUUGCGAUAUACAGUAAGCGGCCAAGCGAAAGCAUUAAGUAUUCCACCUGGGGAGUACGCCGGCAACGGUGAAACUCAAAGGAAUUGACGGGGGCCCGCACAAGCGGAGGAACAUGUGGUUUAAUUCGAUGAUACGCGAGGAACCUUACCCGGGCUUAAAUUGCAGUGGAAUGAUGUGGAAACAUGUCAGUGAGCAAUCACCGCUGUGAAGGUGCUGCAUGGUUGUCGUCAGCUCGUGCCGUGAGGUGUCGGCUUAAGUGCCAUAACGAGCGCAACCCUUAUCUUUAGUUACUAACAGGUUAUGCUGAGGACUCUAGAGAGACUGCCGUCGUAAGAUGUGAGGAAGGUGGGGAUGACGUCAAAUCAGCACGGCCCUUACGUCCGGGGCUACACACGUGUUACAAUGGGGGGUACAGAAGGCAGCUAGCGGGUGACCGUAUGCUAAUCCCAAAAGCCUCUCUCAGUUCGGAUCGAAGUCUGCAACCCGACUUCGUGAAGCUGGAUUCGCUAGUAAUCGCGCAUCAGCCACGGCGCGGUGAAUACGUUCCCGGGCCUUGUACACACCGCCCGUCAAGCCAUGGGAGCCGGGGGUACCUGAAGUACGUAACCGCAAGGAUCGUCCUAGGGUAAAACUGGUGACUGGGGCUAAA